CCUACGGGAGGCAGCAGUGAGGAAUUUUCCGCAAUGGGCGAAAGCCUGACGGAGCAAUACCGCGUGAGGGAUGAAGGAUUUUGGUCUGUAAACCUCUUUUCUCAAGAAAGAAGUUCUGACGGUACUUGAGGAAUAAGCAUCGGCUAACUCCGUGCCAGCAGCCGCGGUAAUACGGGGGAUGCAAGCGUUAUCCGGAAUGAUUGGGCGUAAAGCGCCUGUAGGUUGUUUAUUAAGUCCGUUGUUAAAGCCUAGGGCUUAACCCUAGAAAAGCAAUGGAAACUAGUAGACUAGAGUAUGGCAGGGGUAGAGGGAAUUUCUAGUGUAGCGGUGAAAUGCGUAGAUAUUAGAAAGAACACCGGUGGCGAAAGCGCUCUACUGGACCAUUACUGACACUCAGAGGCGAAAGCUAGGGUAGCAAAAGGGAUUAGAUACCCCUGUAGUCCUAGCCGUAAACGAUGGAUACUAGAUGUUGUGCAUUAUGUACAGUAUCGUAGCUAACGCGUUAAGUAUCCCGCCUGGGGA
rnacentral:rRNA from 1 species